CUCUGCUGCUCACGGCGUAUGCGUUCAAGGAGCUUCUUGCCAUGUUCUUCGGCAAUGCAGGGGCUUUGCUGCCACUGCUGGAUGCGCUGUGGGAGGAUCUCAUAGAUUCGGCUGCAGGGAGACAGCGAGGACGCUCCUGCUACUCACGAGGCCAUGAUCAUCAAAGGCUCCAGCACAGAAGUCCUGGUACAGGUCAGGGUCCAAUGCCAGGUCCUCAUCUGAGAGUGGCUCCGGUGUUGCUGUAGCCUCUGGCAGCUCCUUAACCACGGAUGACAACACUGUCCCCUCAUCUUCCCGGAUACGUCCUAGCUUCUGGGAUGGCUGUGGCUGCUGUUGAGUGGGUGGUGGCCGGCGGGGCCUUGGCAGGGCCUCUGAGGGCGUCACCGGCGAGAGCUGCGGGGCAGAAUCUCAGGACUGGCCCUGACCGCCCUGCCCGCAUGCCCUGCCCCGCCCUGGGGGGCUGGACUCACCGAGGAAGGGAAGUACUUGUACGAUUCCUGUGCGCAGGAGGAAGGCCUAGGUCAGCCCCAGGAAAAUGAAGGGUCACCCUGUCCUAUCCCCAACUACGCAUCCUUGCCUGGUCUCACCAAAUGUCGUUUUAUCCCUCCCCUCACCUCAGAGAUAUGCUCAGUCCUACCUGUUGUGCCCUGGCAUGCCUGACCACCUAAAAUAAAUGUCCCUGCCAGCUA